UUUAAUAGAUUAUAUAUACGUAUUUUUUUUUUUUUAAAUAAUUAUGGUUUAUUUUUAAAAACAAUAAAACUGACGAAUCUUGAUUUGAAAUAACUAGACAAAACAGGUUUAUUCUCAAGAAAUGAAUUCUAUUCAAAAAGCCGGCUCGCCGGGCAUAGGGUGCCGGCACCUGCAGAGCCUGUUGCUGUUCCUGUGCGUGGUGAGCGGGUACCUGGUCCGGGUGAACCUGUCCGUCACUAUCGUGGCCAUGAAUCCGGUGAUCAACUCGACGGACUACUUCCGGGAGCUGGCCGACCACGUGCCGAUAUUCGGGUGGACCAACUCGACGCGGUCCGUGUUGUUGAGCACGUUUUUCGUCGGCUACCUACUGUCCAACUUCCCGGCGUCCGUGCUCGGGUGCCGGUUCAACAACAAGGCGCUGCUGGCGUGCAGCACGGCCAUCUCGUCGGCGCUGGCCAUCGUCAGCCCGCAACUGGUGUACGCGUACGGCGUCCCCGCCCUGGUGGCCGUCCGGUUCGCGCAGGGCCUGUCGUCGGCGUUCAUGUUCCCAAUGGUGCACGGCAUCAUGUCCAAGUGGGCGCCGCCGCACGAGCGUGGCCAGCUGGUCGGGUUCAUCGCCAGCGGCAUACAGCUGGGCACCAUGGUCACGCUGGCCGUCUCCGGUGAGCUGUGCGGCAGCUCGCUCGGCUGGCCGUCCGUCUACUACCUGAGCGGAGCCAUCGGGCUGGCGUGGACGGUCGUCUGGCUGCUGCUGGGCGCCGAGUCGCUGUCCGCGCACCGGUUCAUCAGUCAGGCCGAGAAGGACUACAUCCAAGGAUCGCUCGAAAACACCGUCGACCACGACAUACGGUUAUCAGAUACUCCGUGGAAAUCCAUAUUCACGUCGUUGCCGGUGUGGGCCACCACCGUAGCACACAUUGGCCAUAACUGGGGAUUUUGGCUGUUGUUGACUGAAAUGCCUACAUUCAUAAAUACGGUUCUCAAAUUCGAUAUUAAGGAUGACGGUAUGCUGUCGUCGUUACCAUACCUCGCCAUGUUCGUACUCCAAAUACCGGUCACCUUCAUAGCCGACUUUCUGAAUAAGCACAAAAUCACCACCCUCACUAUGUCUAGAAAAUUCUGGAACACAAUAUCCAUGUGGGGUGGUACCAUUGGCUUAAUCGUACUAGGUUUUAUAGAAGACACUCACUUGACAAUCAUUAUUUACGUGUUCAUCGUAGCCAUAGGGUGUUCAUCGAACGCUGGAUUCAACAUAAAUCACAUGGAUCUGUCACCCAACUACGCUGGGCUCCUGAUGGGAAUCACCAAUACAGCCGCAGCUUCCGGGGGUAUUAUUGCCCCUCUGUUCGUCGGACUCAUUGUUGACGAUCAGACUUCAGUUGCGGAAUGGCGAAUCGUGUUUAUCAGUGGUGCAAUAGUGCUGUUCGUAUGCAAUUUAUUUUUUAUCAUAUUUGGCUCAGCAAAAACUCAGCCAUGGAAUUCAAUGCACAAAAAUGUAUUUUAGUAUCUUAAAAUAUUAUCGAUGAAAAUCCCUUAAUCAAAUACAAAUGUACAUAAAUACAUAAGUAUCUAGAUGCUCUAAAUAUGGAUAAUGCUAAACAAGAUACUGAGAUUGUUGGAUAACAUUACAUGCAUAUUUAUGAUAUGCAAUGCAUCAAAAGCCACGUAUUAUGUAUAUAUUAAUUAUUAGUAUUAUCACACAUAAUUAUAAACUGUCUAUAAUAUAUAAUAUUGAUUAUGAUCACGUUGUUUGGUAUAUGUAUCAUGCUGGUACUAUUAUGAUUUACAAAAUCUAAAUUACUAUAAUAUAAAUUUAUAAUGUAAUUAUAAGUUUAUUGUUUGAAACUCUCAUUU